rnacentral:tRNA from 1 species
GGGGAUUUAGCUGAGCAGCAUAAGCACCUGCCUUGCAAGCAGGUGGUCGUGAGUUCGAUCCCCG